ACGCUCGACACCUACGGGAGGUAGCAGUGGGGAAUAUUGGGCAAUGGGCGCAAGCCUGACCCAGCAACGCCGCGUGAAGGAAGAAGGCCCUCGGGUUGUAAACUUCUUUUGACAGGGACGAAGAAAAUGACGGUACCUGUCGAAUAAGCCACGGCUAACUACGUGCCUGCAGCCGCGGUAAUCUGAGCGGGCUGGCAAGGC
rnacentral:rRNA from 1 species